CCGGCGUAAUUGUUUUCUGAGCUACAUCGCCUUCUUCGUGGUAUGAUUGAGAAUUUAAUUGUUGCUGUUAUUAGCCCGUUUAUAGUCGUUUGAGUAUAUCCGCGUCCAGCAAGUUGAGACCUUGAGAAAGCUUGGCAAUCAAGCCGUGCACAGAACUGACUAACUAAAUCUUUGUUUGCUGUUCGCCUGUUCGGUUAAAUAGAGAAAC